GUUGCGGUGUGUCACGUGACAAUCAUGACCCGUCGCCAUGGACACAAGGGGUCAGAUAAAAUAUUUUUAAUUUACGCGUGAAAGGCUUGAUUUUAAAAAUAUAUAUAUAUUCUAAGUAAACAACAACAGCCCUAGUUUAGUAAAAAAAAAAUAUUGAAACUAUAAAUAAAUAUUCUGCAUCCAUUUUAGGUGUGCUACUGUGGUUGGCUCCCGCACACCCGUGGCUACGCCCCUGCAGUGACCCAAAUCUCGUUCGUACAUCAUCGCGAUAUUUAUCAUCUGUUUACAAACGUCGCCACAUCUCGCUUCGUAAGAUGGAAUUACUGGGCUUCUCUCCAAUGCUCUUUAUUACAACGCAGAGAGGCCAGCAUCGCUCCACAAAAAACGUCAACGUUCAGAGGCAUCAUUCAGUACCGGUCAUGCAGAGACUUUAUGAGGCUGUUGUAAGAGGCAUUUAUGUGUACACAUGCAUUUACCAAUUGAAAAACUUUUUGUAUUAUAAUGGUCUUUUUUCACAGAUUGUGAUGAUGCAUUUCCACAGUUAUUAACAUGGUAAAUCUAACAAAGUUUAUGUUUAUAUAUAUAUGGGCUGGGCAUAGAUCAAUUUAGAUUUGAGUAUUUAGGUAUUGAAUGUGAUGCUGGAGAUUGUAUAAUUAUUUUUCACUUGUAUAAAGUGUUUUAUCAUUCACAUUUUUGUGUUGAAAUAAAUUAGCCUAUCCCCUGUAUGUCACUGAUGCACUACUUCAAAGAUUUGAGGACAAGAACAUACACCUGCGAGUAGUCUUAGACAUUGCCUGUGUUAUUGCCUCACAUUUGCAGAUCAAGUACAGAACCAGAUGGCUUGAUGGGUUUGGGCUCACAGACGGGGAAGGAAUGGAAAGGCUGUGGUCUUUCCUCCAAAGAUUUGCCAGAGUCACAAAGGAGAUGACUCCAUCUCAUCGCCUUGACCUACUGACUGAUGCCCUUUUGCAUUAUGGACGGAGGAAAUCAACUGACCUAGAGGUGCAGCUCCUGCAAAGAGUAGACAAAGCAGAGAAAAUAUUGAUUCUUGCUCAAAAAGAUAUCUCAUGUCAUCAGAGAGGCAUCAGUGUUGAUUUCUGAAGGAGACAUGGAGAGAUGGAAAAAGCUAGCCCAACAGAAACCAAUAAACACUGUCUGUAGAUGGAAAAGGGACUACAUCAUCAGACUGAUUCAGUUCUACAAGUUCAAAUAUUAGAAUUGAGGACUCUGCUGAACAUUGAGAAAAACUACCGUAUUGGGAGAAGAUGGCAAGAGUCUGAUUCAAACUUCCAGUCUACCCUUAAAGAUGUGGACCGUGAGCUCAGAGUCCAACUGCAAGGCUAGAACUGUAUCAAGGGAGAGAGCAGUCGUCCUCCACCUGAGAAGAAUAUAUCCAGCUUUGCUUCAGAUGGGCAGGGCAAUGCCAUUAGACUCUCCAAGCAGGUAGCCAGCUCCAACAAUAGACUGAGACAGCAUUCAAUAGUCACCGCAGAUGAGCUUCUUACCUGCGACAAUUGAUUUUCAGGAAUCAUGUGAUCCCUCUUGGCAUGUCUACUUCUGCUUUAAUGACACUGUUGAAGAAGAUGAUGUUUCGAGGAGUCUAAAAAAGCGAGGGAUUGAUGCCUUACAUAUGAAGACUCAUGCAAAAGCUGCUCUCAUUCAACGCUUCCAACAGCUGGAAAGAAAACUACAUCAAGCCAUUGUGAUGUUUCACCCACAGACAACCCCCACUUGUGUCAGGCCCUCCCCAUGCCAAGCAUACAGACACUGGUAUACAAUGAUAAGAGUGAUAAUGAUGACAAUGUGGAUAAAUAUGAUAACUAGCACUACAGAUUUUUUUUUUAUUUCUAGUCUGAUAUUGUAUUCGGUAAAAAGAAUGAUGUAAAAUGUAUAGUAUAUGUUGCAGCAUAUCAUAGAAACCUUUAUGGUGGUGUAAUAUAAUGUUCGCCUUACUUGUGCAAACAUGAUGUUUUACUAGGUCUGAUUUAUUUUAAAGCGUAGGUACUGUUUUUAAGCACACAUAUUCACACUAGUCUGUGUGAGGACAAAAUUAUGUGUUUACCAUGUUACUUAUUUACUGUAAUGUACAAAUGUGGUCAAUGUGUGUAAUGUGUUUUGUUUUUGUGAGCUAAGUUGAAAUGACAAAGUAUUGAAUCUUGAAUCCUUUGAAACAAAUACUGUAAAAGUUUGUAAAAAAUAAAAUGUUUUCCACAAUGA